UUAGGCCUACGGGGGGCAGCAGUGAGGAAUAUUAGUCAAUGGUCGGGAGACUGAACCAGCCAAGCCGCGUGAGGGAUGAAGGUACAGAGUAUCGUAAACCUCUUUUGUCAGGGAACAAAGGCGGGGACGCGUCCCCGGAUGAGUGUACCUGAAGAAAAAGCAUCGGCUAACUCCGUGCCAGCAGCCGCGGUAAUACGGAGGAUGCGAGCGUUAUCCGGAUUUAUUGGGUUUAAAGGGUGCGAAGGCGGUCUGUUAAGUCAGCG
rnacentral:rRNA from 1 species